UACGGAGGGGGCUAGCGUUGCUCGGAAUCAUUGGGCGUAAAGGGCGCGUAGGCGGCCGAUCAAGUCGGAGGUGAAAUCCCUCGGCUCAACUGAGGAAUUGCCUUCGAUACUGUUCGGCUUGAGUCCUGGAGAGGGUAGCGGAAUUCCCGGUGUAGCGGUGAAAUGCGUAGAGACCGGGAAGAACACCAGUGGCGAAGGCGGCUACCUGGACAGGUACUGACGCUGAAGCGCGAAAGCUAGGGGAGCAAACAGG
rnacentral:rRNA from 1 species